UACGAGGGGAGCAAGCGUUGUUCGGAUUUACUGGGCGUAAAGGGCGCGUAGGCGGCCACGACAAGUCACUUGUGAAAUCUCCGGGCUUAACUCGGAACGGUCAAGUGAUACUGUCGGGCUAGAGUACAGAAGGGGCAACUGGAAUUCUCGGUGUAGCGGUGAAAUGCGUAGAUAUCGAGAGGAACACCUGCGGCGAAGGCGGGUUGCUGGGCUGAUACUGACGCUGAAGCGCGAAAGCUAGGGGAGCGAACGGG
rnacentral:rRNA from 1 species